CCAAGAGUUUCCAAGAGCCUAUCGGCAGAGAAUUUGGUAAGGGUCUCCUCUCUAUGUCUUUCAGUUCCUUAGACAGCUCGACAGCCUCAACCUCACGGCUUCUAGGUCAUCCUUCAACUCCUGUGUAGCUCUUUUGAUGGCUUUUAGUGAGACUUCUCACAAUCGGAGUAGGGCAUCCCUAGUACCCAACAACAAGAGGUCUCAUCUUGCCGAGUCCGAGUUGAGAGAGC
rnacentral:lncRNA from 1 species